rnacentral:rRNA from 1 species
AGUGAACGCUGGCGGUAGGCCUAACACAUGCAAGUCGAACGGCAGCACAGUAAGAGCUUGCUCUUACGGGUGGCGAGUGGCGGACGGGUGAGGAAUACAUCGGAAUCUACUUUUUCGUGGGGGAUAACGUAGGGAAACUUACGCUAAUACCGCAUACGACCUACGGGUGAAAGCAGGGGAUCUUCGGACCUUGCGCGAUUGAAUGAGCCGAUGUCGGAUUAGCUAGUUGGCGGGGUAAAGGCCCACCAAGGCGACGAUCCGUAGCUGGUCUGAGAGGAUGAUCAGCCACACUGGAACUGAGACACGGUCCAGACUCCUACGGGAGGCAGCAGUGGGGAAUAUUGGACAAUGGGCGCAAGCCUGAUCCAGCCAUACCGCGUGGGUGAAGAAGGCCUUCGGGUUGAAAAGCCCUUUUGUUGGGAAAGAAAAGCAGCAGGUUAAUACCCCGCUGUUCUGACGGUACCCAAAGAAUAAGCACCGGCUAACCUCGUG